UUAAAUUGAAGAGUUUGAUCAUGGCUCAGAUUGAACGCUGGCGGCAGGCCUAACACAUGCAAGUCGAACGGUAACAGGAAGCAGCUUGCUGCUUCGCUGACGAGUGGCGGACGGGUGAGUAAUGUCUGGGAAACUGCCUGAUGGAGGGGGAUAACUACUGGAAACGGUAGCUAAUACCGCAUAACGUCGCAAGACCAAAGAGGGGGACCUUCGGACCUCUUGCCAUCGGAUGUGC
rnacentral:rRNA from 1 species